AUCAAGCCUACCAAUCACAAAACUUCAGAGAGAAACGUGUGGAAAGUUCGUUCUGAUUGCUAUCAGGUUGAAUUUUGUAUCAAUUUUAUUUGAUAAUAUUGGUUAAUAUUAUCAAUUAAAUAAUGGUUAAAUUAACGCCAGAUUUGAUUCAACAAUCCAUGCAAUAUAUUAAUCCUGUAAAAGAUCGUGAAUUAGAUCUCAGAGGAUAUAAAAUACCUACAAUUGAGAACUUGGGCGCAACUCUGGAUCAGUUUGAUACUAUUGAUUUUUCUGAUAAUGAUAUAAGGAAAUUAGAUGGAUUUCCUCUGUUAAAAAGAAUUAAAACUCUUUUUUUCAAUAAUAAUCGUAUUGUCAGAAUUGGCGAAGGAUUGGAACAUUGCAUUCCAAAUUUGGAAACUCUUAUGUUAACUGGAAAUAUGAUUCAAGAACUUGGUGAUUUAGAACCACUAACACAAUUAAAAAAUUUAACAAACCUUUGUUUACUACAAAAUCCAGUAUCUGCAAAGCCUCAGUAUAGACAAUAUGUUGUAUAUAGAUUUCCACAAUUGAGGCUUUUAGACUUUAGGAAAAUUAAGAUGAAAGAACGUGAAGCUGCAGUUACAUAUUUUAGAAGUAAGAGAGGAAAGGAAAUGGUUCGUGAAAUAGCAAAGAAAGUAAAAACACAAACCUCCGGUAUGUCUAUGGAUAAGCCAUUGAUAACCCCAGAGGAACGUAACAAAAUAAGGGAAGCUAUUACAAAUGCUUCUUCUCUUGAAGAAGUGCAACGCCUUAGCAAAUUGCUUCAAGCUGGACAUAUGCCUAGUGAAGAAAGAUUACAAAAUGGAAAUAUAAUACCCGAAGCAAUGGAAGAAGAAGAUGACUAAGUUAUUUUAUACAUUGUUUUCAGAUCUAAAUGAAGCAAGAAAAGUUUUGUUUAUUGAAGUGUCAGUACCAUACGUUGUAGCAAUUCUCCCCUUUGCUUCUACAUUAUUCUUUCUGCUGUAGUUCUGUAAUAUAUUGAAAAAUGGGGAAUUCGUUUCAAAUAAUGUUUAGUAGCGAUCCAUUUCCGAAAAUGGACACA